rnacentral:rRNA from 1 species
GUCGGAUUAGCUAGUUGGUGAGGUAAAGGCUCAUCAAGGCGACGAUCCGUAGCUGGUCUGAGAGGAUGAUCAGCCACACUGGGACUGAGACACGGCCCAGACUCCUACGGGAGGCAGCAGUGGGGAAUUUUGAACAAUGGGGGCAACCCUGAUCCAGCCAUUCCGCGUGAGUGAAGAAGGCCUUCGGGUUGUAAAGCUCUUUCGGACGGAACGAAACGGUUAGGACUAAUACUUCUGACUAAUGACGGUACCGUAAGAAGAAGCACCGGCUAGCUACGUGCCAGCAGCCGCGGUAAUACGUAAGGUGCGAGCGUUAAUCGGAAUUACUGGGCGUAAAGCGUGCGCAGGCGGUUAUUUAAGACAGGUGUGAAAUCCCCGGGCUUAACCUGGGAAUUGCGCUUGUGACUGGAUAGCUAGAGUGCGGCAGAGGGGGUUGGAAUUCCACGUGUAGCAGUGAAAUGCGUAGAGAUGUGGAGGAACACCGAUGGCGAAGGCAGCCCCCUGG